AGUUCUCACAGAUCGGUCCAAACGGUACGGUCUAGCAAAGUAAAGAUUUUUUGAAAUUAUUUUUUAAUAGAUCGCCUAGAACUUUUAGUAAAAUAAUUUUCCUUGCUUUAA